CCUACGGGAGGCAGCAGUGGGGAAUAUUGCACAAUGGGCGCAAGCCUGAUGCAGCCAUGCCGCGUGUAUGAAGAAGGCCUUCGGGUUGUAAAGUACUUUCAGCGGGGAGGAAGGCGAUGUGGUUAAUAACCGCGUCGAUUGACGUUACCCGCANAAGAAGCACCGGCUAACUCCGUGCCAGCAGCCGCGGG
rnacentral:rRNA from 1 species